CACGUAGGCGGCUUUCUAAGUCAGGGGUGAAAUCCUGGAGCUCAACUCCAGAACUGCCUUUGAUACUGGAGAGCUUGAGUCCGGAAGAGGUGAGUGGAACUCCGAGUGUAGAGGUGAAAUUCGUAGAUAUUCGGAAGAACACCAGUGGCGAAGGCGGCUCACUGGUCCGGUACUGACGCUGAGGUGCGAAAGCGUGGGGAGCAAACA
rnacentral:rRNA from 1 species